rnacentral:rRNA from 1 species
UGAAAUAGAUCCUGAAACCGCAUGCAUACAAGCAGUGGGAGCACCUUCGUGGUGUGACUGCGUACCUUUUGUAUAAUGGGUCAGCGACUUAUAUUCAGUAGCGAGGUUAACCGUAUAGGGGAGCCGUAGAGAAAUCGAGUCUUAAUAGGGCGUUUAGUUGCUGGGUAUAGACCCGAAACCAGGCUAUCUAUCCAUGAGCAGGUUGAAGGUUGGGUAACACUAACUGGAGGACCGAACCCACUGUCGUUGAAAAGCCAGGGGAUUACUUGUGGAUAGGGGUGAAAGGCUAAUCAAGCCUGGUGAUAGCUGGUUCUCCCCGAAAGCUAUUUAGGUAGCGCCUCGGACGAAUACCAUAGGGGGUAGAGCACUGUUUCGGCUAGGGGGUCAUCCCGACUUACCAAACCGAUGCAAACUCCGAAUACCUAUGAGUACUAUCCGGGAGACAGACUGCGGGUGCUAACGUCCGUAGUCAAGAGGAAAACAAUCCAGACCGCCAGCUAAGGCCCCAAAAUCAUAGUUAAGUGGGAAACGAUGUGGG